rnacentral:lncRNA from 1 species
CUCGCUUAAUUAUGUUUUAUUCUUAAUCUAUUAUGAAUUAUGAAUCAAUUCAAUAUCAUGUUUUCUAUUGUUUAUUUAUAAAUGUUUACAAAUACCAUAUAAAUAUAGUUGUUUGUCAAGUUUUACAUAGCGAAUGAUACGUUGAUAGCAUGAAUUUUUGAAGCUCUUCACUUAUUCAAGUUAUACCUUCUUUCUCUUGCAAAUGUUUGGUUGGAGCGUACCUGAUGAAGAUAAAUUCAACAAAGCGAUUCGGACGUACUGAAUGCAGACUGAUUUUUUUCAUUUUUUUAACAGAUUUAUGCGAUCUCUCACCCUGCAAGAUAAUCUUAAAAUUAUUAUGUUCACUAUUAUCAACAUCUUCUUAUUACUUAUUUGUUCACUAGAAUUUUAAAAGAUGUGUGAAAUAUAAGAAGAUGUUGGUCUGCAUGACUUUCUACUUAAAAUACAAAUUACUUGAAACAGUGACAGAUGCUUGCUUACGCUCGUUUUUAUUAUUGUAACAGCACAGAUAUGUUUGACACAACAGUCAAAGGGACAUAACUGAUUCCAUAAACAAACUCUGUUGGAACGAUUGUUUAUUUUAAUGUGUAGUGGCCAAGAUUUGCGGAAAAUGAUACAGAUUACCACUAGAAAAAAGCUAUGGAUAUCUUGUAUUUA